GCAUAUCAAUAAGCGGAGGAAAAGAAACCAACAGGGAUUGCCUUAGUAACGGCGAGUGAAGCGGCAAAAGCUCAAAUUUGAAAUCUGGCACCUUCGGUGUCCGAGUUGUAAUUUGAAGAAGGUAACUUUGGAGUUGGCUCUUGUCUAUGUUCCUUGGAACAGGACGUCACAGAGGGUGAGAAUCCCGUGCGAUGAGAUGCCCAAUUCUAUGUAAAGUGCUUUCGAAGAGUCGAGUUGUUUGGGAAUGCAGCUCUAAGUGGGUGGUAAAUUCCAUCUAAAGCUAAAUAUUGGCGAGAGACCGAUAGCGAACAAGUACAGUGAUGGAAAGAUGAAAAGAACUUUGAAAAGAGAGUGAAAAAGUACGUGAAAUUGUUGAAAGGGAAGGGCUUGAGAUCAGACUUGGUAUUUUGCGAUCCUUUCCUUCUUGGUUGGGUUCCUCGCAGCUUACUGGGCCAGCAUCGGUUUGGAUGGUAGGAUAAUGACUAAGGAAUGUGGCUCUACUUCGGUGGAGUGUUAUAGCCUUGGUUGAUACUGCCUGUCUAGACCGAGGACUGCGUCUUUGACUAGGAU
rnacentral:rRNA from 1 species